rnacentral:sRNA from 1 species
AUCCGCCUGCCGGCACCUUCUCCCCGCGAGCGGGGCGAAGGGACUCGUGGC